CUCCCUGUCUGUUCUGGUCUCAGUGUUCUGAAGACCUGGUGUGCUGACAUUUAAUCUCCAUCCUGAGAUAUCUCAAAGGAGUAGUCGUCUGACUGGAGUGGAGUCCUCAGAGAAUGAAGGGAGUUAGAAAAAGCCAUCAAGCAGAGUGCCUUCUCCGUGAGGCUUGCUGGCUGUAGAAAGGAAAAGAUGGUGAUGGUUAAGUCAGACCUGGAUGUGACCUACCGACAGAUCUUAUUCGAACAAGUGACUGAAAUAAUUUUCCUUCCGCUAUAUAAUGGGCAUAUCCACAGACCUUUCUUGGAGUAAGGACAGCAUAAAAACUUCCACAUGAGACCUGAUCCAUUCAUUUUCUUGUCAGCUGAUCAGCGAGGAUGCUGAACUCAGGAUAAAGUGGGGAGAGACAAGGGCUUGGUCCUGAAGAGAGUGUGACUACCUCCCUUGGGCAUGACCCUGCCCAGACUCGGAGAAAAUGUUUCAAUUUGAAGGAAAGGGCUGCUAUAGCAGGCAAAUUCUGCACUACUAAGGACUCUUAAAAUCCAGUCUUCCGAACCCCAGGCCUCUUCCUAACUCCCCACAUCAAUGAGUUUGACCUUGAACUUCAGAUCCUUUCACCACAACUUCCUGAAUGCUGUGCUUACAGGGGCGUGCCUGGUUUUAGCAGGACUGAAUCUCAAGCUCGCCACCCACACGCUAGAACAAAAGGACUUGCAAGUUGCACAGCUUCUGGAAACUUCCAUACACCAGAGGGAGGUAUAGGAAAUGUUCGGUUGGCUACAGUUAGAGGCAACUACUCUGUUGCUUCCAACUUAACUUCACAGCCUCCUCAGGUAACGGAGACAAAGACUUCUGCAACCAGGCCAGGCAGAGCUCCGUUCUUACCAUUAAAGUCCCCUUUGGUCUGCUGGCCCAAGGCAGACUCAUCCGAUA
rnacentral:sRNA from 1 species